GACGUACUUCUUCCGUUCUGAAUUACUUGUCGCAGGUAUGGAUGUAUCUAGAUGUAUUUUAGUUCUGGAUAUAUCCAUUUUUGCGACGAGUAAUUUGAAACGGAGGGAAUAAUAA
rnacentral:pre_miRNA from 1 species